rnacentral:rRNA from 1 species
AACGAACGCUGGCGGCAUGCCUAACACAUGCAAGUCGAACGAGACCUUCGGGUCUAGUGGCGCACGGGUGCGUAACGCGUGGGAAUCUGCCCUUGGGUUCGGAAUAACAGUGAGAAAUUACUGCUAAUACCGGAUGAUGUCUUCGGACCAAAGAUUUAUCGCCCAGGGAUGAGCCCGCGUAGGAUUAGCUAGUUGGUGGGGUAAUGGCCUACCAAGGCGACGAUCCUUAGCUGGUCUGAGAGGAUGAUCAGCCACACUGGGACUGAGACACGGCCCAGACUCCUACGGGAGGAAGCAGGGGGGAAUAUUGGACAAUGGGCGCAAGCCGGACCCAGCAAGGCCGCGUGAGUGAUGAAGGCCUUAGGGUUGUAAAGCUCUUUUACCCGGGAGGAUAAGGACAGUACCGGGAGAAUAAGCUCCGGCAAACUCCGU